rnacentral:rRNA from 1 species
GACGAACCGUGCGAACGUUAUUCGGAUUUAUUGGGCUUAAAGAGUGCGUAGGUGGCAGUGUAAGUCGGGGGUGAAAUACUAUCGGCUCAACCGUGGAAUUGCCUUCGAUACUGCAUUGCUUGAGGGGGAUAGGGGCAAGUGGAACUUCCGGUGGAGCGGUGAAAUGUGUUGAGAUCGGAAGGAACGCCAGUGGCGAAAGCGACUUGCUGGGUCUUCACUGACACUGAGGCACGAAAGCUAGGGGAGCAAACGGG